rnacentral:rRNA from 1 species
AUGGCUCCGCGCCGGCCCGGAGUCCCCGAGCUCCUACAGAUCCUCCUGCGCCGCCUCAAGCACCCGCUCGCCCGCCUCCGGAUCUUGCUCUCUGGCGCCGAGUUCGUCUUCUCCGAGCCCCACUCCAAGCGCAUCCGCCUCAAGCUCCGCCUCCGCCAUGAGGUCCUCAACGGCAUCAUCCUCGAGCAGACCCACCCCGUCGAGUUCGUCAUCCACGACCGCCUCUGCGACUCGUGCGCCUACGCCCAGGCCAACGUGACCAGUGGGUCGCCCUUGUCCAGUUCCGCCAGCACGUUCCACACUGCCGUGCCUUCCUCGCAGCUCCUCUUCAAGCAUUGCCAUGCCGCGCUCGCCAUCCACGUCUCCUCGGCUCCCGGCAGCCUCAACUUCUUCUUCGGCUUGCGCUCGCACACCGUCCGCCUCGUUGUCUUCUUGGACAAGUACAGUAGUAAGUGA